rnacentral:lncRNA from 1 species
ACCAAUGGCCCCCCGAAGCCAAAUAACCAUUUUACUGCACCUUUCAUGGAAAGCAACACCAUCAUAGGAUAGACUGGUGUCCAAUCUCACUUGAUGUCAAGGCCAAAAGAGAGGCGGAGAAAAAUGCAGCCGAAGAAGCAGCACAAGCAGCAGCUCAAGCACCCAAAACUAUUCAUCACACCACCUUUUUAACUCACCCAGCAUACUACCCAUGUCCAACUAACCUCGCAAACUUCCCACCAACAAUAGCCUGGCAAUCUUCAC